rnacentral:rRNA from 1 species
UACGGGGGGGGCAAGCGUUGUUCGGAAUUACUGGGCGUAAAGGGCUUGUAGGUGGCCAACUAAGUCAGACGUGAAAUCCCUCGGCUUAACCGGGGAACUGCGUCUGAUACUGGAUGGCUCGAGUGUGGGAGAGGGAUGCGGAAUUCCAGGUGUAGCGGUGAAAUGCGUAGAUAUCAGGAGGAACACCCGUGGCGAAAGCGGCUCUCUGGGACGGUACUGACGCUGAGACGCGAAAGCGUGGGGAGCAAACAGG